rnacentral:rRNA from 1 species
AUGAACGCUGGCGGCGUGCUUAACACAUGCAAGUCGAACGAACCUUCGGGUUAGUGGCGGACGGGUGAGUAACGCGUGAGAAUCUGCCCUCAGGAGGGGGAUAACGGUUGGAAACGACCGCUAAUACCCCAUAUGCCUACUGGUGAAACGAAUUUCGCCUGAGGAUGAGCUCGCGUCUGAUUAGCUUGUUGGUGAGGUAAUGGCUCACCAAGGCUUCGAUCAGUAGCUGGUCUGAGAGGAUGAUCAGCCACACUGGGACUGAGACACGGCCCAGACUCCUACGGGAGGCAGCAGUGGGGAAUUUUCCGCAAUGGGCGAAAGCCUGACGGAGCAACGCCGCGUGAGGGACGAAGGCCUCUGGGCUGUAAACCUCUUUUCUCAAGGAAGAAGAUAUGACGGUACUUGAGGAAUAAGCCACGGCUAAUUCCGUGCCAGCAGCCGCGGUAAUACGGGAGUGGCAAGCGUUAUCCGGAAUUAUUGGGCGUAAAGCGUCCGCAGGCGGCUUUUCAAGUCUGCUGUUAAAGCGUGGAGCUUAACUCCAUCAUGGCAGUGGAAACUGAAAGGCUUGAGUAUGGUAGGGGCAGAGGGAAUUCCCGGUGUAGCGGUGAAAUGCGUAGAUAUCGGGAAGAACACCAGUGGCGAAGGCGCUCUGCUGGGCCAUUACUGACGCUCAUGGACGAAAGCCAGGGGAGCGAAAGGGAUUAGAUACCCCUGUAGUCCUGGCCGUAAACGAUGAACACUAGGUGUCGGGGGAAUCGACCCCUUCGGUGUCGUAGCUAACGCGUUAAGUGUUCCGCCUGGGGAGUACGCACGCAAGUGUGAAACUCAAAGGAAUUGACGGGGGCCCGCACAAGCGGUGGAGUAUGUGGUUUAAUUCGAUGCAACGCGAAGAACCUUACCAGGGUUUGACAUCCUGCGAACCUCUUAGAAAUUUGAGGGUGCCUUCGGGAAUGCAGUGACAGGUGGUGCAUGGCUGUCGUCAGCUCGUGUCGUGAGAUGUUGGGUUAAGUCCCGCAACGAGCGCAACCCACGUUUUUAGUUGCCAGCAUUUAGUUGGGCACUCUAGAAAGACCGCCGGUGAUAAACCGGAGGAAGGUGUGGAUGACGUCAAGUCAUCAUGCCCCUUACACCCUGGGCUACACACGUACUACAAUGCUACGGACAAAGGGCAGCAAACUCGCGAGAGCUAGCAAAUCCCAUAAACCGUGGCUCAGUUCAGAUCGUAGGCUGCAACUCGCCUACGUGAAGUAGGAAUCGCUAGUAAUCGCAGGUCAGCAUACUGCGGUGAAUACGUUCCCGGGCCUUGUACACACCGCCCGUCACACCAUGGAAGUUGGCCAUGCCCGAAGUCGUUACUCCAACCCUUGUGGAGGAGGACGCCGAAGGUGGGGCUAAUGACUGGGGUGAAGUCGUAACAAGGUAGCCGUACCGGAAGGUGCGGCUG